rnacentral:rRNA from 1 species
CUUCUAACUCAUCAUCAUGAUAUUUUUCAACUUUGACCUC